rnacentral:rRNA from 1 species
AUGAAGGAUCUAGGAGUAGCUGAUGUUAUCUUAAACAUCAAGCUGUUGAGAGAUGAGAAUGGUGGGAUCACACUGCUUCAAUCUCACUAUGUGGAAAAGAUAUUGAGUCGUUUUGGGUAUAGCGACUGCACGCCUUCUCCAACUCCAUAUGAUGCUAGUGUGUUGCUUCAAAAGAAUCGACGGAUUGCUAGAGAUCAACUGAGGUAUUCUCAGAUUAUUGGCUCACUUAUGUAUUUGGCGAGUGCCACGAGGCCUGACAUCUCUUUUGCUGUGAGCAAGCUGAGUCGGUUUGUGUCAAAACCGGGAGAUGAUCAUUGGCAUGCGCUUGAGAGAGUUAUGCGCUAUUUGAAAGGCACUGCGAGCUAUGGGAUUCACUACACCGGGUAUCCAAGGGUACUGGAGGGUUAUAGUGACUCAAACUGGAUAUCUGAUGCUGAUGAGAUUAAAGCCACAAGUGGUUAUGUUUUUACACUUGGUGGUGGCGUUGUUUCCUGGAAGUCUUCAAGCUGA